UAGCUUUAUGUAACUUAAAAUGAAAGAAAAAAUGUGAAAAUAAGGCAAAAUAAAUGUAUAAAAAAUAAAGUCAGACUGUUGUACUAGGAGUAUGGGGAUUGAGUUUCUUUAGGAAUUUUGAUUGUAACUAUGGGAAAGCUAUGUGUCAAAUUUAAAAUGACUGAACAGCCUGAAGGUUUGUGCUGAGUUUGGUGGAUAUAGUUUGACCUCAAACCCAAGUUUGUUCAGUGACAGUAUGUUGGCUUUAAUGAGGUGGAUUCCUCAAGGAAUGUAUUCUGAGAAGAACUUCUUAUUCUCUGGCAAAACACAUUUUCCAACAUCUCCCACUAUCUCUCCCUCUCUCUCUCUCUCUCUAUACACACACAAAGGUUUUCUCCGAAGUCUUUCCCCUCCCUCCUCUGGCGAUCCGUCACCCCUCCUCCAGCUGCUGAUGGUCCUGCUGUAGGCAGUCUGCUCGUUCUCCUCAGUGUGAGGACAGCACACGCUCCUUCACAACCAGCCUCUUUCUCUCUCACACACUCCUGUACUAUUCUGACAAUAUUGGAUAUACUCCAAGCAGCACACCUUUGUGGAGCAUUUGAACUAACUGAGCACUUGAUUCAGGAGAAAGAAGAUCAGUCAGCACUAAGGUAUGAGGUGUGUUUGAAUAAGCCAACAAGGAGGGGUUUCUUCUUCUUGAUACUGAAAACUACUGAAGAUUUGGACGUCCACCAUGAGUCUUAAAAGGAGGAAACCAAGCAUGGCGUUCAGCUGGCACAAGUCUUUCACCAUCCUUGCCCCGUGGAGAAAAGGUAAAGGGGAUAUUGUUUUGGAUAAUGAUGUUGUACUGACAAAAAUGAAGCUCCUCAACAAUGUCCCUGAGAAACUGCUUAAUGCUGAGGAUUCCAUUUCAACCAUCUCCAUUUCAAUGUCUGAGCAGGACAACACAGAACCUCUCCAAGCUGAUGAGGUGAUCUCUGUCCAAAGCACUGCUCCUGAGACCACUGUCCCUGAAUCAAAAACAGACUAUCUAUCUUCUAUUUUUGCAGAUUCUGAACUUCCAAGAUUGUAUAAAUUUGAAUCUGAGGACUCUGGAGUAGAAAUGACUAGUGGGGCAACUUCUCCAUCCACCCCAACUGGUUCAGAGCAAAGCUUUGUGGUCCACAGUAGGGAGUCUUCAUGUGACUCUGGCAACCUGAACUCUCUUGUACCUGCUGACAAUCUUCUUGAAGACAGUUCAGUCUUCUUAGAAACUGAACAAACGUCUUGUAAGUGUGCUAAACAAGACACUCUUACCAUCCUGGGAGACAGAACAGAGGAAGAGAAUGUUGAUGAUGAUUUAAUAGAUUCAGAGAGGUCUGAGGACAGAACCCUGAGGAAUACCAUGGAGAACUGUAAAGAUACCAUUGAAAUCAUGGCAGCACAGGAGGAAAUAACAGACACUACAAUGGCUGAGGACACAAUGUCAAGCAGCCAGUGUUCUAUAGAAGCUUAUGAUGGCAAAACAGGACCUGAAUUUCAGCAACGGCCUUUGAGGAAAAGUACAACCAGCGACAGUCUGGAUGAGUACAUGGAAGAGUGCUGCAGGCUAAGUGAGGUGAACCAAGCCAAUCGGUCCAACCCUCUGGGCUCAGGACUGGGGUACCUAGAGCACAUCUGCCAGCUCAUAGAGAAGAUCGGACAGCUACAGGAACACAACCUUCGACUACAGAAACAGAUCUGUGGCCUGCAGAAGGAAGGCAGAGUGAUCAAGACUAAAGAGGACUUCUUCAUGCAGCACUGUAGCUGUGGAGCAGCCAGCUUGGCCUUCCAUGAGCUCAAGAGACACUUUCGCAGUGACCACUACAGCCUGACGGCAUCAAGCAGCACACUGUCUGACCUCAGCACGAUCCCUGAGGUCACGCGCACCCCCCUCAGGGCAGCCAUGAGAGAUGGUGACAUGGGUUGCCAACCUGCUCUUCCUGUUUGGAGGAGGGGUCUGAAUCGAAGGAGCUACACAGAGGGAGAGGCCAAGUACCUGAGUGACAGCACUGAGGUCCUCUCCGCUCCUCACAGACAGUUGAGUGAGAACUAUACAUGGGGAAGAGUGAAGGAACUGGUGAAGAAGACCAAACUGAGGAACCAGAGCCGGCUGGGACUGUCUUCAGGCUCCCUGAAGAGAUCAUGUCCACAGCUUUACCGCCCAGAUGUGAUGUCAGCAGAACGGCCCAGGACAAACAGAAACUCCAUGAUCGCUCUGGGACAUCAGAAACUGGACUAUCUGUGGCCACAGUAGUAUUACUCAG
ensembl:lncRNA